rnacentral:rRNA from 1 species
GCGUCGGUAAGGUGAUAUGAACCGUUAUAACCGGCGAUUUCCGAAUGGGGAAACCCAGUGUGUUUCGACACACUAUCAUUAACUGAAUCCAUAGGUUAAUGAGGCGAACCGGGGGAACUGAAACAUCUAAGUACCCCGAGGAAAAGAAAUCAACCGAGAUUCCCCCAGUAGCGGCGAGCGAACGGGGAGGAGCCCAGAGCCUGAAUCAGUGUGUGUGUUAGUGGAAGCGUCUGGAAAGGCGCGCGAUACAGGGUGACAGCCCCGUACACAAAAAUGCACAUGCUGUGAGCUCGAUGAGUAGGGCGGGACACGUGGUAUCCUGUCUGAAUAUGGGGGGACCAUCCUCCAAGGCUAAAUACUCCUGACUGACCGAUAGUGAACCAGUACCGUGAGGGAAAGGCGAAAAGAACCCCGGCGAGGGGAGUGAAAAAGAACCUGAAACCGUGUACGUACAAGCAGUGGGAGCACGCUUAGGCGUGUGACUGCGUACCUUUUGUAUAAUGGGUCAGCGACUUAUAUUCUGUAGCAAGGUUAACCGAAUAGGGGAGCCGAAGGGAAACCGAGUCUUAACUGGGCGUUAAGUUGCAGGGUAUAGACCCGAAACCCGGUGAUCUAGCCAUGGGCAGGUUGAAGGUUGGGUAACACUAACUGGAGGACCGAACCGACUAAUGUUGAAAAAUUAGCGGAUGACUUGUGGCUGGGGGUGAAAGGCCAAUCAAACCGGGAGAUAGCUGGUUCUCCCCGAAAGCUAUUUAGGUAGCGCCUCGUGAAUUCAUCUCCGGGGGUAGAGCACUGUUUCGGCAAGGGGGUCAUCCCGACUUACCAACCCGAUGCAAACUGCGAAUACCGGAGAAUGUUAUCACGGGAGACACACGGCGGGUGCUAACGUCCGUCGUGAAGAGGGAAACAACCCAGACCGCCAGCUAAGGUCCCAAAGUCAUGGUUAAGUGGGAAACGAUGUGGGAAGGCCCAGACAGCCAGGAUGUUGGCUUAGAAGCAGCCAUCAUUUAAAGAAAGCGUAAUAGCUCACUGGUCGAGUCGGCCUGCGCGGAAGAUGUAACGGGGCUAAACCAUGCACCGAAGCUGCGGCAGCGACGCUUAUGCGUUGUUGGGUAGGGGAGCGUUCUGUAAGCCUGUGAAGGUGUGCUGUGAGGCAUGCUGGAGGUAUCAGAAGUGCGAAUGCUGACAUAAGUAACGAUAAAGCGGGUGAAAAGCCCGCUCGCCGGAAGACCAAGGGUUCCUGUCCAACGUUAAUCGGGGCAGGGUGAGUCGACCCCUAAGGCGAGGCCGAAAGGCGUAGUCGAUGGGAAACAGGUUAAUAUUCCUGUACUUGGUGUUACUGCGAAGGGGGGACGGAGAAGGCUAUGUUGGCCGGGCGACGGUUGUCCCGGUUUAAGCGUGUAGGCUGGUUUUCCAGGCAAAUCCGGAAAAUCAAGGCUGAGGCGUGAUGACGAGGCACUACGGUGCUGAAGCAACAAAUGCCCUGCUUCCAGGAAAAGCCUCUAAGCAUCAGGUAACAUCAAAUCGUACCCCAAACCGACACAGGUGGUCAGGUAGAGAAUACCAAGGCGCUUGAGAGAACUCGGGUGAAGGAACUAGGCAAAAUGGUGCCGUAACUUCGGGAGAAGGCACGCUGAUAUGUAGGUGAAGCGACUUGCUCGUGGAGCUGAAAUCAGUCGAAGAUACCAGCUGGCUGCAACUGUUUAUUAAAAACACAGCACUGUGCAAACACGAAAGUGGACGUAUACGGUGUGACGCCUGCCCGGUGCCGGAAGGUUAAUUGAUGGGGUCAGCGCAAGCGAAGCUCUUGAUCGAAGCCCCGGUAAACGGCGGCCGUAACUAUAACGGUCCUAAGGUAGCGAAAUUCCUUGUCGGGUAAGUUCCGACCUGCACGAAUGGCGUAAUGAUGGCCAGGCUGUCUCCACCCGAGACUCAGUGAAAUUGAACUCGCUGUGAAGAUGCAGUGUACCCGCGGCAAGACGGAAAGACCCCGUGAACCUUUACUAUAGCUUGACACUGAACAUUGAGCCUUGAUGUGUAGGAUAGGUGGGAGGCUUUGAAGUGUGGACGCCAGUCUGCAUGGAGCCGACCUUGAAAUACCACCCUUUAAUGUUUGAUGUUCUAACGUUGACCCGUAAUCCGGGUUGCGGACAGUGUCUGGUGGGUAGUUUGACUGGGGCGGUCUCCUCCUAAAGAGUAACGGAGGAGCACGAAGGUUGGCUAAUCCUGGUCGGACAUCAGGAGGUUAGUGCAAUGGCAUAAGCCAGCUUGACUGCGAGCGUGACGGCGCGAGCAGGUGCGAAAGCAGGUCAUAGUGAUCCGGUGGUUCUGAAUGGAAGGGCCAUCGCUCAACGGAUAAAAGGUACUCCGGGGAUAACAGGCUGAUACCGCCCAAGAGUUCAUAUCGACGGCGGUGUUUGGCACCUCGAUGUCGGCUCAUCACAUCCUGGGGCUGAAGUAGGUCCCAAGGGUAUGGCUGUUCGCCAUUUAAAGUGGUACGCGAGCUGGGUUUAGAACGUCGUGAGACAGUUCGGUCCCUAUCUGCCGUGGGCGCUGGAGAACUGAGGGGGGCUGCUCCUAGUACGAGAGGACCGGAGUGGACGCAUCACUGGUGUUCGGGUUGUCAUGCCAAUGGCACUGCCCGGUAGCUAAAUGCGGAAGAGAUAAGUGCUGAAAGCAUCUAAGCACGAAACUUGCC